rnacentral:rRNA from 1 species
GAUGAACGCUGGCGGCGUGCCUAAUACAUGCAAGUCGAGCGAACAGAUAAGGAGCUUGCUCCUUUGAAGUUAGCGGCGGACGGGUGAGUAACACGUGGGUAACCUACCUAUAAGACUGGGAUAACUUCGGGAAACCGGAGCUAAUACCGGAUAACAUUUAGAACCGCAUGGUUCUAAAGUGAAAGAUGGUUUUGCUAUCACUUAUAGAUGGACCCGCGCCGUAUUAGCUAGUUGGUAAGGUAACGGCUUACCAAGGCGACGAUACGUAGCCGACCUGAGAGGGUGAUCGGCCACACUGGAACUGAGACACGGUCCAGACUCCUACGGGAGGCAGCAGUAGGGAAUCUUCCGCAAUGGGCGAAAGCCUGACGGAGCAACGCCGCGUGAGUGAUGAAGGGUUUCGGCUCGUAAAACUCUGUUAUUAGGGAAGAACAAAUGUGUAAGUAACUGUGCACAUCUUGACGGUACCUAAUCAGAAAGCCACGGCUAACUACGUGCCAGCAGCCGCGGUAAUACGUAGGUGGCAAGCGUUAUCCGGAAUUAUUGGGCGUAAGCGCGCGUAGGCGGUUUCUUAAGUCUGAUGUGAAAGCCCACGGCUCAACCGUGGAGGGUCAUUGGAAACUGGGAAACUUGAGUGCAGAAGAGGAAAGUGGAAUUCCAUGUGUAGCGGUGAAAUGCGCAGAGAUAUGGAGGAACACCAGUGGCGAAGGCGACUUUCUGGUCUGUAACUGACGCUGAUGUGCGAAAGCGUGGGGAUCAAACAGGAUUAGAUACCCUGGUAGUCCACGCCGUAAACGAUGAGUGCUAAGUGUUAGGGGGUUUCCGCCCCUUAGUGCUGCAGCUAACGCAUUAAGCACUCCGCCUGGGGAGUACGACCGCAAGGUUGAAACUCAAAGGAAUUGACGGGGACCCGCACAAGCGGUGGAGCAUGUGGUUUAAUUCGAAGCAACGCGAAGAACCUUACCAAAUCUUGACAUCCUUUGAAAACUCUAGAGAUAGAGCCUUCCCCUUCGGGGGACAAAGUGACAGGUGGUGCAUGGUUGUCGUCAGCUCGUGUCGUGAGAUGUUGGGUUAAGUCCCGCAACGAGCGCAACCCUUAAGCUUAGUUGCCAUCAUUAAGUUGGGCACUCUAGGUUGACUGCCGGUGACAAACCGGAGGAAGGUGGGGAUGACGUCAAAUCAUCAUGCCCCUUAUGAUUUGGGCUACACACGUGCUACAAUGGACAAUACAAAGGGCAGCUAAACCGCGAGGUCAUGCAAAUCCCAUAAAGUUGUUCUCAGUUCGGAUUGUAGUCUGCAACUCGACUACAUGAAGCUGGAAUCGCUAGUAAUCGUAGAUCAGCAUGCUACGGUGAAUACGUUCCCGGGUCUUGUACACACCGCCCGUCACACCACGAGAGUUUGUAACACCCGAAGCCGGUGGAGUAACCAUUUAUGGAGCUAGCCGU